rnacentral:rRNA from 1 species
UACGUAGGGGGCUAGCGUUGUCCGGAAUCAUUGGGCGUAAAGCGCGUGUAGGCGGUUCGGUAAGUCCGCUGUGAAAGUCGGGGGCUCAACCCUCGGAUGCCGGUGGAUACUGUCGGACUAGAGUGCGGAAGAGGCGAGUGGAAUUCCUGGUGUAGCGGUGAAAUGCGCAGAGUAUCAGGAGGAACACCGAUGGCGAAGGCAGAUCUCUGGGCCGUAACUGACGCUGAGGAGCGAAAGCGUGGGGAGCAAACAGG